ACACGUGAAAGGAGGUGGUCCAGCAGAUGCAUUCGCAAAGGACUCGUGAGGUGGCUGCCCGCUAGCAGCUCCACUGCACGGGACUUCCCAGCAGCUGUCGAAGCCGCCGGCGAAUCCACGGCAGUCACCCGACCCGCAGGUGCUCCGGACAUCAGUCCACCGGAGACGGUCCACCAGGACCACACCUGCGGGUCGUCCCAU
rnacentral:sRNA from 1 species